CAGUAGCCGCGGGAAUACAGAGGAUGCAAGCGUUAUCCGGAAUGAUUGGGCGUAAAGCGUCUGUAGGUGGCUUUUCAAGUCCGCCGUCAAAUCCCAGGGCUCAACCCUGGACAGGCGGUGGAAACUACCAAGCUGGAGUGCGGUAGGGGCAGAGGGAAUUUCCGGUGGAGCGGUGAAAUGCGUUGAGAUCGGAAAGAGCACCAGCGGCGAAAGCACUCUGCUGGGCCGACACUGACACUGAGAGACGAAAGCUAGGGGAGCAAAUGGGAUUAGAUACCCGCGUAGUCCCUGUCUCUUAUAC
rnacentral:rRNA from 1 species